rnacentral:rRNA from 1 species
GACGAACGCUGGCGGCAGGCCUAACACAUGCAAGUCGAACGAGUGGCGGACGGGUGAGUAAUGUCUGGGAAACUGCCCGAUGGAGGGGGAUAACUACUGGAAACGGUAGCUAAUACCGCAUACCAUCGGAUGUGCCCAGAUGGGAUUAGCUAGUAGGUGGGGUACCGGCUCACCUAGGCGCCGAUCCCUAGCUGGUCUGAGAGGAUGACCAGCUACACUGGAACUGAGACACGGGCCAGCCUCCUACGGGAGGCAGCAGUGGGGAAUAUGGCACAAUGGGAGCAAGCCUGAUGCAGCCAUGCCGCGUGUAUGAAGAAGGCCUGCGGGUUGUAAAGUACUUUCAGCGAGGAGGCGUUACUCGCAGAAGAAGCACCGGCUAACUCCGUGCCAGCAGCCGCGGUAAUUC